GGAAUCACCUGAAAAAAUAAUGAAUAAACAAUAUAUUUUGAUUUGUUACUGACUUUUCCUCAUGCUUGAAGUAGGAACACAUCAUUAAAACACAACAACAUUAAAAUACAUAUAUUAAAAUGCCUAGGACAAAGCUUAAAACAUCACUACUAAUAAAAUGUAAAUUUAAUUUAAAAUUGAUUGUGUAAUCCUGCCAGAAGAGAUUGGUCUUUAAUUGGGUCUUCGAUUUCAACAGGUUGUUUAAUUGUUGGAUCUUUUUUUGGCAGGUCAUUCCACAAUCCUGGGGUGGCCAAUGGAAAGGUUUUUUGGGUGACAGUUGCUAGUUGGGUUCUGGCUGGUUGGAGUAAAUGUCCCCCAGAGGACCUCAGUGUCCAGGGUAGGUUAUGUGGGAGAAAAUGUAACCCAAACUAUGCAGGGCUUUAAAGGACAUUACCAACACCUUUGUACUUUGCCCAGAAACAACUUAGUAACCAGUGGAGUAAUUUUUAGUAUAGGGGUAAUAUGCUUACUCGUAGAUGUUGUUACAGUAAGUAGUAAUAGGAUCAGGUAUAUAUGUGUGUGUUAAAAAAACCUUAUUGUUAAUUAUUAUGAGCAGCUGCUGAUGUAGGUCAGCAAGCAAGCUUGGACCACACCCGGUGGGGUAUAACUGUAUGAGUUUUUAGAAUACAGAUGGUGAUGGUUAUGCUGAAUGUGCAAUGACUGACCAGCAAUGCUCUUUGCUAUGACGAACUGUAUGUUCCCAUAACCGUUCUGGCUGCCAUGUUUUGAACCAACUGGAGUUUCUGAACUUGGUACAGAGGUAUCCCAAAAGUACAACAAACUGCAGAAGUCCAGCCUUGAGGUUACCAGUGCAUGCACUACCCUUCUUAAGCCUUCCAAUUCUAGAAACGGAUGCUGCUGAUGUAUCAGUCGAAACUGAUAAGAACCCUGAUGCUGCAACAGAUGACAAACCUCAGGAUUACAUAGGAUGGAACUAUGACAGUUAAAGUGGUGCCAAAGUGCUAGAAUUCUGCAGCAUGAAUGAGAAUCCUCUAUCUGAUUCUCCCCCCCCCUUUUUUUUCUGUAUAUGUUUGAGUAAGCAACUACAUUGAUUAUACAGGUUUGAUCAACUUAAGUCCUUGUGCAUGGUCUUUUGCAGUGAAAUCAAUACAAGAAAUGCCUUUAAAGGCAUUUAAAAGUUUUUAGUUGGAUGGCAACAUAUGGCAUAUGAACUUCCUUUGCAUUUUAAAAAUGUAUGGGGAAAGUAUUAUUUUUAAGAAACCUGAUUGCAGCCUGGAAAUUUAUUUUUGAUCUAUAGCACUGCAAAGCUCUGCAUAUUGAAGAUUAAAUUAACCAUUAAAUUAACACAGGCAGAAGCAAUAUCAUUUUUAUUUGAGAUGGUUACAUCAAAAUUCUUCACUUUUUUCCCAAAAGUUCCCUUUGUGCCUCUAUUGCAGUUGUAGUUCAGCCAAAUUAUUCUAUAAUUCAAAGGCCUUUGCUACCUCCUGUUAAAUAAUUCUUCAAAUUUCAUGUUAAACGAGGAUCUGCCAGGAAAGAAAAAAAAAACCAGAUGAAUAAAAAAUAGAUUCUUGGCUGCUUCAAAUCAGACCAAUUUUAUAUUUGUAACAGAUCUCCCCACUCCAAAACAAAGUACAUUUCUCUUCAUAUCAAUAAAGCUGAGCAGAGAAUAUUUGUA